UACGUAGGGGGCUAGCGUUGUCCGGAUUUAUUGGGCGUAAAGAGCGUGUAGGCGGCCAGGUAGGUCUGCUGUGAAAACUCGAGGCUUAACCUCGAGAUGUCGGUGGAAACCAUCUGGCUAGAGUCCGGAAGAGGAGAGUGGAAUUCCCGGUGUAGCGGUGAAAUGCGCAGAUAUCGGGAAGAACACCCGUGGCGAAGGCGGUUCUCUGGGACGGUACUGACGCUGAGACGCGAAAGCGUGGGGAGCGAACAGG
rnacentral:rRNA from 1 species